rnacentral:rRNA from 2 species
UAACGAUCCUAGCUUGCUAGGAGGCGACGAGUGGCGAACGGGUGAGUAACGCGUAGGAAUCUACCUAGUAGUGGGGGAUAGCCAAGGGAAACUUUGGGUAAUACCGCAUACGAUCUACGGAUGAAAGGGGGCCUCUCUUUGAAGCUCUCGCUAUUAGAUGAGCCUGCGUCGGAUUAGCUUGUUGGUAGGGUAAAGGCCUACCAAGGCGACGAUCCGUAGCUGGUCUGAGAGGAUGAUCAGCCACACUGGGACUGAGACACGGCCCAGACUCC